rnacentral:rRNA from 1 species
UCUUUCGCAAUGGACGAAAGUCUGACGAAGCGACGCUGUGUGAGCGAUGAAGGCCUUCGGGUUGUAAAGCUCUUUCGCAUAGGAACAAGAGAGGACGGUGAAUAGCCGUUUGAUUUGAGGGUACUAUGUAAAGAAGCACCGGCUAACUCCGUGCCAGCAGCUGCGGUAAUACGGAGGGUGCAAGCAUUAAUCGGAUUUAUUGGGCGUAAAGGGCGCGUAGGCGGGUUUGAAAGUCAGAUGUGAAAUUCCGAAGCUCAACUUCGGAGCUGCAUUUGAAACUCCAGAUCUUGAGGGAUGGCGGAGAAAAUGAAAUUCCACGUGUAGCGGUGAAAUGCGUAGAUAUGUGGAAGAACACCUGUGGCGAAAGCGGUUUUCUAGCAGGAUUCCUGACGCUGAGGCGCGAGAGCAG